AUUGAACGCUGGCGGCAGGCCUAACACAUGCAAGUCGAACGGUAACAGGAAACAGCUUGCUGUUUCGCUGACGAGUGGCGGACGGGUGAGUAAUGUCUGGGAAACUGCCUGAUGGAGGGGGAUAACUACUGGAAACGGUAGCUAAUACCGCAUAACGUCGCAAGACCAAAGAGGGGGACCUUCGGGCCUCUUGCCAUCGGAUGUGCCCAGAUGGGAUUAGCUAGUAGGUGGGGUAACGGCUCACCUGGGCGACGAUCCCUAGCUGGUCUGAGAGGAUGACCAGCCACACUGGAACUGAGACACGGUCCAGACUCCUACGGGAGGCAGCAGUGGGGAAUAUUGCACAAUGGGCGCAAGCCUGAUGCAGCCAUGCCGCGUGUAUGAAGAAGGCCUUCGGGUUGUAAAGUACUUUCAGCGGGGAGGAAGGGAGUAAAGUUAAUACCUUUGCUCAUUGACGUUACCCGCAGAAGAAGCACCGGCUAACUCCGUG
rnacentral:rRNA from 1 species